AGAUGCCUUACACAUGCAAGUCGUACGAGAGUUUUUAACUCAAGUGGCGGACGGGUGAGUAACACGUAAGAAUUUGCCUUUAGGAGGGGGACAACAACUGGAAACGGUUGCUAAUACCCCAUAUGCUUUCGAGUGAAAUGGAUUUUCCGCCUAGAGAGAAGCUUGCGGCUGAUUAGCUUGUUGGUGAGGUAAUGGCUCACCAAGGCGACGAUCAGUAUCUGGUUUGAGAGGACGAUCAGACACACUGGAACUGAGACACGGUCCAGACUCCUACGGGAGGCAGCAGUGGGGGAUUUUCCGCAAUGGGCGAAAGCCUGACGGAGCAAUCUCGCGUGAGGGAUGACGGCCUAUGGGUUGUAAACCUCUUUUUUCAGGGAGGAAUCAACGACGUGUACCUGAAGAAUAAGCAUCGGCUAACUCCGUGCCAGCAGCCGCGGUAAGACGGAGGAUGCAAGUGUUAUCCGGAAUCACUGGGCGUAAAGCGUCUGUAGGUGGUUUAAUAAGUCAACUGUUAAAUCUUGAAGCUCAACUUCAAAAUCGCAGUCGAAACUA
rnacentral:rRNA from 1 species